ACGGGUGAGUAACACGUGGGUGAUCUGCCUCGUACUUCGGGAUAAGCCUGGGAAACUGGGUCUAAUACCGGAUAUGACCAUGGGAUGCAUGUCUUGUGGUGGAAAGAUUUAUCGGUGCGAGAUGGGCCCGCGGCCUAUCAGCUUGUUGGUGGGGUAAUGGCCUACCAAGGCGACGACGGGUAGCCGACCUGAGAGGGUGACCGGCCACACUGGGACUGAGACACGGCCCAGACUCCUACGGGAGGCAGCAGUGGGGAAUAUUGCACAAUGGGCGGAAGCCUGAUGCAGCGACGCCGCGUGAGGGAUGACGGCCUUCGGGUUGUAAACCUCUUUCGACAGGGACGAAGCGUGAGUGACGGUACCUGUAGAAGAAGCACCGGCCAACUACGUGCCAGCAGCCGCGGUAAUACGUAGGGUGCGAGCGUUGUCCGGAAUUACUGGGCGUAAAGAGCUUGUAGGCGGUUCGUCGCGUCGAUCGUGAAAACCUACCGCUCAACGGUGGGCUUGCGGUCGAUACGGGCGGACUAGAGUACUUCAGGGGAGACUGGAAUUCCUGGUGUAGCGGUGAAAUGCGCAGA
rnacentral:rRNA from 2 species